GAUGUCACUACUCCAUUGUUGCACGAGAUAUCAGAUAGCGGCAUAAGCCGAGUGGAUUCGAUUGCAAGUAACAGGAAGCAGAUUGUGAAGGGGGUCAGGUGCAUAUGAGCUUGAAGCCUACAGCGGGAGACAAUCGACAGCAGGCGACGGCCGUGGCAUAAAUACAGUGUUGAGCGACGAUCUGUGAAGAUGAGUUACUGUUUCGUGGGCAGCCAAUAUCACUUCCCUAGCACUGCUGUAAGCCUCGGCCAUCAGAAUGACGGUGCUGGAAAAUUGUGGACCGCAGUGGCCAACACGCAACACGGACUGGUCGGUGGCAAGGCGAAAGGGGACACUUGCUGGUAUUCCUACGACGGCCGAGAGCACACCACAAAGGACUUCUCUUGGCUGACAGCGCCAGAAGGAAGAGUUGUAACUGUCCGGAACAUGGGCAGUACUCCACCUGGUGCGGUAUGUUUUGGCCAACAAAGUGACAAGAAGGAAUACUAUGCAGCAUUAGCAAAGUGUCACCAGGGCCUGAUUCCUGGGAAGGCCCUGGGCAACACGUGCUGGUACCCGCAUGGGGGCAAGGAACACCUCACGUCCGACUUCUUCUGGCUGGUGGCUGCGUAGGUCAAUGCAGACUUAGUGUUGGGAACAUCAUACAUUUAUAUGAAGUUAAUUUUGAUUACAGAGACCUUUACUAUUUCAUUAGACAUGUGAAGACAAGAAUAUUGAUGCAUUCCUUUUUGAAACGAGGUUGUUGAAUACCCGCAGUUUUCUGAUGCUUUCAACUCAAGUCUAUUCUUCUGGCUGGUGAUUGCAUAGGUGGAAGUAUUCUUGAUAUAUCAUUUAUCAAAGAAGUUAAUUUAUGAUUCAAUGAAAACCUCUUACGUUCACCUAGACAUAAAAAGACAGGACUAUUGGUGUAUACUUUUCAGAAAAGAGGUUUCUCAAUACCCGCAUUUUACCAUUGCUUCAAAUCUUCAGAAAUUUUGUAAAAUUGAUUUACGAAAACCAGGAAAACUUUAACAAUAGAACGAGGAAGCCAUGUGAUCAAUGGAAGUGACGCCACUUUGAGGAAACUUCCUGAAACUAUUAAAUGCCAAAGAAAGAAGCAUAAAACGAGCCAAUGCGAUCUGAUCUGGAUCAUCGUAUGUAAAAGCCAAUCUCACUUUGUUUCUGUGUCAAUAAAACCGUAAGCCAAGUUAA